rnacentral:rRNA from 1 species
UACGUAGGUGGCAAGCGUUGUUCGGAAUUAUUGGGCGUAAAGGGCGCGUAGGCGGCUUGUUAAGUCGGUUGUGAAAGCCCGGGGCUCAACCCCGGAGAGUCGACCGAUACUGGCGAGCUAGAGUACGGAAGAGGUAGCUGGAAUUCCCGGUGUAGCGGUGAAAUGCGUAGAUAUCUGGAGGAACACCGGUGGCGAAGGCGGCUUCCUGGACCGACACUGACGCUGAGGCGCGAAAGCUAGGGGAGCAAACGGG